AACGGCCGCAGUAUCCUGACUGUGCUAAGGUAGCAUAAUCAUUAGUUUUUUAAUUGAAAACUCGUAUGAAUGAUUCGACGAGAAAUUUCCUGUCUCUAAAGUACUUGAACUUACUCGGAAAGUCAAAAAGCUUUCCCUCCCCAAUAGGACGACAAGACCCUAUAAAACUUUACCUUGCUUAAAACCACACCCUUAGAAAAUUUUAAUUUUAAUAAAGGUUCUACUGGGGCGGUAUCUUUUAUUACUAACAAAAAUUAAUCUAACAUAGUGCAUGAAAUUAUCAAACACUCGGCGUAAAUAAUAACAAGUUACUUUAGGGAUAACAGCGCAAUAUCUUCUUAGAGCCCACAUCGGCGAAGAUGUUUACGACCUCGAUGUUGAAUUGAAGAACCUUCGCGGAGCAGCCCUCGCGUGAGGAAGUCUGUUCGACUUUUAAUCCUUCACAUGAUCUGAGUUCAA
rnacentral:rRNA from 1 species